CCUACGGGAGGCUGCAGUGGGGAAUAUUGCACAAUGGGCGCAAGCCUGAUGCAGCCAUGCCGCGUGUGUGAAGAAGGCCUUCGGGUUGUAAAGCACUUUCAGCGGGGAGGAAGGCGGUGAGGUUAAUAACCUCAUCGAUUGACGUUACCCGCAGAAGAAGCACCGGCUAACUCCGUGCCAGCAGCCGCGGUAAUACGGAGGGUGCAAGCGUUAAUCGGAAUUACUGGGCGUAAAGCGCACGCAGGCGGCCUGUCAAGUCGGAUGUGAAAUCCCCGGGCUCAACCUGGGAACUGCAUUCGAAACUGGCAGGCUAGAGUCUUGUAGAGGGGGGUAGAAUUCCAGGUGUAGCGGUGAAAUGCGUAGAGAUGUGGAGGAACACCAGUGGCGAAGGCGACUCUUUGGUCUGUAACUGACGCUGAGGCGCGAAAGCGUGGGGAGCAAACAGGAUUAGAUACCCGGGUAGUC
rnacentral:rRNA from 1 species